CCAUGACGGACGCCGGAAGUGACGGACGGGACUAUUGAACCGAGCGACUGAAAAGUUGUUUUUGCCAGUUUAUUUAUGGCUCCUGCUUGUUCCAGUCAAGUAAUUUGUCUGUGAAUGUAACUCACCUGGUUGGGGCUCAUAGGUGGCGGGAGUUUCAAAAGUUGCUAACAGCUAACAGCUAGCUUACGGUACUUCCUCCCUCCUGACGUCUUGAUCAAAUGACUAACUUUGCCUGAAUUCAAGCCACACAUCGUCUCCAUAAUGGUUGGAUGUACCUUCUCCUAAUAUUUGAUAUUUUAAUCAUACUGACUUAUAAAGUAUACAGACGUUUGUUUUCUUACCUUGUAAAAAAAUAUUCGCUGCGAAUCCGCGGUUACACCGAGGGCUAACAGUUAGUAUGGUUGACAGGUGCCAUCCAUUUCCUUCCUCAUUAAAGGUUAGAAAAUAAAAUGAAUGAAUAAAAUAAAGUUUGUUUGUGUAGCUGACCGCGACAUCCUGUGACCAUUUUAAACUGAAAUCAGCUAAAUAAAAGUGGCGUUGGGUCAAAGAUGUCUGCUUUUAUACCAGCUUUAAAGGAGCACAUCAUUUUAACAACUGUCAUGGCGGAGUUCUGGAAAGCGUGACGUCAUGCUCAAAGGGUCUAUCGACUCCGCCCACUUUGCUGGAAUAUUUUUAUAAUUGUUACUGAAGCUGAGCUUUCACAGCGGGGUUAGUUACACUUUAAGGAAAUCUGUAGAUAUGACUCUCUGUGUGUUUCCACUUCACUACUCAUGCAUAUCAGGAUAUAUUUGAGCUUUUAAAAUCGGCAGUUCUACGUGUUUCAGAGUCUGACACAAGUGUUUCCAGUUUGGAGCUAAUUAUGUUUAGCUGAGAUCCCUGACCUGCGUUUUGCUGCCUUUCUUGACUGAAAUAAAUUCAAACCCAUCCAAGUACGGCGCGAUUCUCUGCGUUGUAUAUGGCUUUUAUUUCCAAAAGAUAAACUCUCAAAUUUUACUUUGCUUGACUCAACAAUAAAUGAACAACCAAUCAGAACCGCUGCUUAAAAAAAGUAACAAGUUUACAGUUGCCAUGGUUACUACAGCUCAGCAGAGUGGGAGGGGGCGGAGCCUGAGGAAGUUGUUUUUGUUCAAAUUCAAAUCUGAGCACAAACUGCAACAUUCUCCAUAGAUCCAAAUGGCUGAAAAUGUAUUUCUGACACUCAAAGGCAAACAUUUUUAAAACAUUAAUUAUUGCUGUAAACAGAUUUCUGCUGAUAUUUUUUCUAACUUCUUUCUAUCAGAUAAAUUGCAAAUAAAUUAAUUAAUAAAUACAUUUCUCAGACAGAAAUGAAUUGUGCUGUUAGAAAUAGGUAUAAAUUAUACAUAUGCAAGCAAAGUAUUGUUCCCGUGUCAAGCCCCUAUUAUCCUGCCUGGACUCUUAGCACACAUGCUAAUACGUGAGUGUCUCAACUGACCUUCAGCUUUUAAUAGGAUUGGUUGAUGCAGGCGGACUGUUAACCUGAGCCUAAUUCCCCACAUAAGUAGCUCUAGUUCUGACUUUUUCACAAUUAGGCUAAUGAAUGAACCAAAGUGUGAAAAAAACACGCAGCUCUCCGAUCGCUAACGAUAAUUCGCUGGAGGCAUUAUGGCGGGCAGACAAGCUAAACUGGGUGAGAUAUCAAAUACACAAAGGUAAUCACUUUUAAUAACAUCACAAACUGCAAAGUUUGUACAAGUUUUCAUAUAAAAGCUCUAACAGGAUUUAAAGGCUGCCCCGUUUUAAUUACCCGUUAGCUAAUCUGAAGCUGCAGGCUUGGUUACUAUCACCAGGUGAUUAAUUCAUUGGUUUAGCUGGUAACCAGAACAGAGUUCACAGAAGAAGAGACGUAGCUCAAACAGGCAAAUUAAAAAGGUAAA